AACAAAAACCUCCAGAUGAUCAGAUGUCUAACAGAGAUUAUGACAAGUCAACUCAAAGCAACGUUAUUGAUGCAGCACCUUUCAACAUUAAGACACUUCCAGGGAGCUGCGUUUCCCAUCAUGGAGGUUCUGGGUUCUGGAGCAGAUCGUGUCCAGCAGCUGGUCACUGAUUGAUCAGAGCAGCUCCCAGCAGAGCUCCCUCUGGUGGUGGAAAACAGAAUGACCACAUAGCAGCUCUCCUGUUUCACGUGUUUCUUGCUUAUUGUUGCCCAUUUGUCAGUGAGGUUCUGUGUCACUGUGUCAUAAAUAAAACAU